CCUACGGGAGGCAGCAGUGGGGAAUUUUGGACAAUGGGCGCAAGCCUGAUCCAGCCAUGCCGCGUGCGGGAAGAAGGCCUUCGGGUUGUAAACCGCUUUCGGCCGGAACGAAAUCGCCCGGGUGAACAUCCCGGGUGGAUGACGGUACCGGAAGAAGAAGCACCGGCUAACUACGUGCUAGCAGCCGCGGUAAUACGUAGGGUGCGAGCGUUAAUCGGAAUUACUGGGCGUAAAGCGUGCGCAGGCGGUCUCGUAAGACAGGUGUGAAAUCCCCGGGCUCAACCUGGGAACUGCGCUUGUGACUGCGAGGCUGGAGUGUGGCAGAGGGAGGUGGAAUUCCACGUGUAGCAGUGAAAUGCGUAGAGAUGUGGAGGAACACCGAUGGCGAAGGCAGCCUCCUGGGCCAGCACUGACGCUCAUGCACGAAAGCGUGGGGAGCAAACAGGAUUAGAUACCCUGGUAGUCCACGCCCUAAACGAUGACGACUAGUUGUUGGGGUAGAAGUACCUUAGUAACGCAGCUAACGCGUGAAGUCGUCCGCCUGGGGAGUACGGUCGCAAGAUUAAAACUCAAAGGAAUUGACGG
rnacentral:rRNA from 1 species